rnacentral:misc_RNA from 1 species
AAGUCAUAACAAGGUUUCCGUAGGUGAACCUGCGGAAGGAUCAUUAGUGAAUCGGCCCUCUGUGGCCUUCAUCAAAUCCUCACACCUCUGUGAACUGUUGGGCCUCGGCCCACUUUUAUAAACUUUUGUCGUCAUGAACGUAUGUAAUACAAAACAAAACAAA